rnacentral:tRNA from 1 species
CAUAAGAGAGCUGAAAUUAGCGCCAGGCUUUUAAUCUGGAAAUAGUAUCUAUACUUCUUAUGA